UAAAUUUAGAAAAGAGAGCUUUAUUUCUUAUAAAGGUUUGCAGUCCGCAAGGUGGCCAUUAUGACAGGCUGGGAAGUGUGGCCUACAGCCAAGGCCAGAGGCAGGCAUUUCCAGGGAGGGAAGGAGAGGACAGGAAUUUGAGCCAAAUGAGUUGGCUACAUAUACAUACUCAAUAGGAUAUCAGAGGAGCUACAUCAUUUUAUGAGAAUACUCAUAAAAGAGGUCCUAACGCAUGCAUAUUCAAUAAACAUGCAUGUUCAUUCUGGGGUGGAGACUUGACAUUUAAAUGUAUUAUAAUUAGGCCCUACACAUCAAAAAGUGAAGCAGGGACAUAAAGGUACUCAGCCUCUGUAAAGGCUCAGCCUCUGUAAAGGCACAGCCUCUAAAACUGGCCAGAACCAGUCCAUGGAGGAUGGUCUCUUAUCAGGAGAAAGUUACUGAAAUCAGUCCCUUGUCCAGAGAAAGCUGUCGUUAAGGUUAGUGGGGCAGGAGAUCAGUUACUCAGCGUCUGUGAACUGGGUGAGUUGUAAUUGUUUUAAUCUUGCUUCUCUCACAGCCAGUGCUUGCUUGGCUGCUAGAGAAAAAUAAAACCCAUGUGGUAGUUAGAAUCUAGUUAAUUCUUUAAGAGUAGGGUACAAGACUUAACCCUCGCCUGGCAUGGCCCUAGGCCCUGUUUAUAAUUUGAGGUCUUAUUGCCACAAAGAGUCUGUUCUGUCAGUCUCAUGAUCUCUAUUUUAACAUUAAUGCUGCUCAGUUGUUGGGUCUAAACCAUAAGAGGGAGGGAGGUACAGGGAGGUAUGUCUGACCUCCUGUCCUGUCAUGGCCGAGAACUGAAUUUUAAGAUUUAUUUGAGGUUCCGUUGGCCAACAGGGGGUCUGUUAAGUCGGGUGGGGGGCUUAGGAUUUUAUUUUUUGUUCUCAAGGGAGAUAAAAUAAUUUAAUCCAUUGGCCUCUGUGACUGUGGGACUAACAUGGCUAUGAUCUGUCGGACAGACUUCAGGCUGGCACCCAGGCAAAAUUCUAUGCUGUAGUAAAUGCAUCAUGCACAUUUGUAACAACACGUACAUAACAAUGUCACAAAAUACUUUCACGGUGACAACUAGAUUAGUGUUUUAUUGAAUAGCUGAUGACAUAAACUGUCUCAUUUGGUGCCAAGACUGACCAUCACCAGCAUACCAAGGUCAUCACUGAUCAGAGGUCUAACCCAAGGAGGGGGUCAUGUGCAGGCCCAGCGGUGGGGAGGAAAGAUGCUGCAGAGGAGAUGGAUGCCCACAGAGGCCCCUGAGCGGAUACCAUGCUCACUAAGUGGUAAGUAUAGACUCAACGUAGGCUGUAAGCUCUCCCCCUGUGUAAAUGGGACCCCGUACACUUGAGAGUCAAGGGUCUGUUUGGGUGGCAGGGAUAGCCACUUCUGAAGGUAGAAAGGAAAAUAAGCCACCAAAUUGGUACCUUUCUGUGAAAUGGACAUCGUGCUCAGAAUCUCCAUUUUCCCCACAACCUGGAGGAGUAAGUACUGUCAUCUGCAUUUUGUAGCUGAGGAAUCUGACUCAACAAAAUUAAAUUACUCGCCUAAGCAAUUAGCAAUCAACCAAGUCUUUCUGACUCAGAAACCCAGCUAUUGCCUGUUCAUAUCCAGCCCCUGUAUUGGGGUCAAGAUCUGGCCUGUUCUCAAUGCAGCAAGAUCCAGGCAGAUCACACUGGACUCCCAGCACUGAAUCUGGCUCGAGGGGACAUCAAAUUUGACUGGGUCAUGGGGCUCAGGAGCAUCACUCUCAAAAAUAGCAGUACAGGAAGAGGCAAUGGCCCUAAACAGCAUUUGCAGGCAGAUCCCAUGUUAAUCGUAAGGGUCAGGACUCUCUCACUUUUCUGUCUCUCUCUCUGUCUCUCCUCUAGGGCUGACCCCACAUCGGACACCACUGCAUCCAUGUCCAUCACAACACAGCUGCCUUUUCUUCUGCCUGCUUAUGGGAAAGUCCCCUCCUCUCCUCCGUUUCCUUCUCUUCCUGCCCUAUCACACUGUGCACUUCUCCCUUUCCUUAAAGAACCACCAUCAACUUUAGGAGGAGGGAAAGGGGUGGCUCUGGGAGGAAAAGCCAGAAUCCCCUCUAGCCAGCAGAGAGAGAGGAAUGGCUGCAUGUUUUCUCCCCCAAUCCAAGGCACUAGGUUUUGGCUAGGUUGCAGGUUCCAAGCUGCUCUCCUGCUGUGUCGGUGAGUUCUGGUUAACCUGCAACCUCCUGAUGUGGCCACUGCAGUUCAUCGAGUCUUCAGGGACUCCCCAUGGCCUGGAGUACUUUGCCUUGCUUACACGGGAGAGGAGAAUGGAUUUAUAGAGAACAUCAUCUAAAUCCAACUUGACCAUUGUGUGGCCACACUUGCUAGAUUGCUAUAGUCUAAAUCUAGCAUUGUAGAAAGACGGGGGAGCUUGGAGCUGCACAAACCCAGGUCUGGAACGGGCUCCUUACCUUGGAAGGUGAAUGAUCCUGGUAGGACUCUUAGCCUCCCUGGGCCUCAGUUUCUUUAUCUGUUUCAUGGGAAUGAGGAUCUCGGCUGGUUGGUUGGGUGAUGCGGGGGCUGUGUGAAAACAGCUUGUCAAUACAAGCUGAAAUAGAAAUAUUUCUCCACAGAGUAUGAAGAUCAAAUGAGAGAAUACAUUUAAAUUAAAUGGAAAAUUAAAAUGGCAAAAAAGGCAAAGCUGUAUUGAAAGUUCCGAGCUUCUCUAUAAGGAGCUUUUUGACUAUGUAAGAAUCCUGUACUCGUUCCCCCUAAAUAUAAAAAAAAAAUGUUGAAGGAGGCAGAAGGGAGAGUGAUGCACGAUGGGCGAGGACUUCACCUGCUGUUGCUGGCUUUGAGGAUGGAGGAAGGAGGCCACAAACCUAGAAGCUGGAGCCCCUAGAAGCUAGAAAAGGCAGGGACCCGAUUCAUCCCUUGAGCCUCCAGAAGGGACAUAGCCCUGCCAGCACCUUGACUUUAGCCCAGUGAGAUCCUCUUAGGACUUUUGGCAACCAGAACUAUAAGACAGAAAUGGAAGCCACUGAGUCUGUAGCUGUUUGUUGCAGCAGCAAUAGAAAACUAAUGCAGAGCCCAAGAAAUCACUGGUGAUGAGAUGGGGAAGUGGGCUCAGGAGGUCUGGAUCUGUGAUGAGAUGGGGAAAGUGGGCUCAGGAGGUCUGGAUCUGAGUUGGGGAUCUGGAGUGGAAGGGGAAUUCAUUUGUUCAUUGUCUAUCCUUUUGCAUUAAUUGAAUUUUUUUCUAUACAUACAUGUGAAUUUUCACAAUAAAAGUUUUUUCCAAAAUAAAAUAAAAGAAACAAAAGGGGCUUUUUGCAACCCAAUUCCUAUCUAUGUCUGAGUCCACUUGUAUUGAAUGAGUCUUUCUGCUAACGUCCUUAUAUUUGGGUGACUAUCUGAAUGUCAGUGACCAAUCAGAGCAGAGGCAGACCUUGGAGUGGGCAGGGCAUCCUGAGGGCCCUGAUUCCUGCCAUAAGGCAUAACCCUUUAGGUGCCAGACCAUGGGGAGGUCCAGGGGUUGCAGGGGAGGGCUGUGCAUCUGCAAUGGCUCUCAGGGGGCUCCCGGUGGUGGCAAUUGGUGAAUCUGCAUGGUGGUGUUUCAAUAUUGUCACAACCCUGCUGUCUCUCAUGCUCUCAAAAAGCAUUUCUCUUACCUGUGACAGACUUCCUAUACCUAACAGCUUGCAAAAAUGUUCCAGAUUAAUGAGAAUAAUCUCUCGGAGCCAUACCUCCCUGCUUGGGGUCUCAGUUUCCCCAAAUGUCUCCAGACAAGUUAGGCUAGAAGGCCCCUGAGUCUCAGCCCCUCUAUAGCCCUCCUGUCACCCAGACCUGAUCUGGGUCUUGCACCCUGGGUGCAGCAUGACAGGGGUGGGCAGGGGCUGGCUCUGGGCCAGAGGACCCUUUCUGAUGGACUUCAGCUGUUGGCCUUCCAGGGGAGACUGAUCAACCUCACAAGAGUCAUAUGGUGAGUAGCGGUGGGCAAAUCCAUCCCCCUCAUCUUAGAUUUAUGGGGAGACAGAGACAAAGAGGAGACACUCCAGGAAGACCUGCAGGUGGGAGUACCAGGUUGAAACCAAGGACACCUUCCUGGAGGAGCUGCCGUUUGAGCCAGCUCUGAGAACAGGUGGAGACAGGACUGGAGAGGAGGAGGUUGUGCCCUAUGAGCAAAGACUGGCCACCACCCCAUCUAACACCCCCACAGGGCCCCUGUGGCAUCCCUGUCCAGUCCCUGUCACCACCCAGUUUUUCCCUCUGGACCCAGGAAUUCAAAGUAAGCAAGGAGGUCCGCUGCUCCAGUUGGCUGCAAAUAAUUACAACCUUGAGCCCAAGCAGCACUUUGGGUCCUGGUUUGGGACCAUGAAGCGGCUCGGUGAGACUGAGAGGUAAGGCCAGGGCAGGAAUUGGGAUAGUAGGAUUGAACUCUCCCUGGGGGCCAGCCUCAGAAAGCCUGUGGCCAUGGCCUCUUGGCCAACAUCAGAUCCUGUGGUCUGGCAAUGCCUGGGGUACCCAGACCUCACUCUGGACAGGCCCUGGGAGGGGGCCCUGGUGAGAUUCCUGGCAGCCUCACAGCCACUCUUCUGUCCAUAGCUACAACCUGUCAUGCCAGCUGGAGGCUCCAUCCCAGUUGGCUGGGAGCAUAAAGUCCAGGAAGAUAGACAUCACCCACCACAGGGGCCAGUCAGGGCCUGAACCAGGGCGGGCAGAGGUUGGCUGCCUUGGGAUAUGGGUGGGCUCAGGGAGUCAGACAGCAAGGGACUAGCCUCCCAUCCUACUGCUGAGCAGCCCUGUGACUGGGGAGAGUCACCUUACUUCUCUGGGCCUCAGUUUCCCCCUCUGUGGAGUGACACUAAAUGAUCUCUCUGGAGACGGGGAUCAAUAGGGUACUGGUGAUUGACCAGGCACUCAGCACAUGCCUGGAGCACACAGUGCAGGGCUGUGGUGGGGAGGUGGGCUGAGUUCCUAGGGAGUCACCCAUGUGUGCCUGCCGUUCUGACCAGCCACCAGGCCCUCAGGGCAGAGCCCACUACCAGCAGCAGCUCACACCCCAAGACCAGCUCAGAGGCGGCCCCUACCUCAGCAGCAGGGACAUCACAGACACUUUGAGCUGGCACUAGGGUGGCUUCUCCAGCUCCCACGGGGAGAGGGGUCCCAGCUGAGUCCCACUCACGUGGAGUCUCAUGCCCAUGAAAGUGCCAUUCACCACUGGCCAGGCUCAUGAGGCCGCAUGAGAGGGGGGUCACUGGGGAGGAGAUAUCGGGGGAACAGAGAGGGUGGUUGAAUUUUUGUAUAAUAGGCAGUGCAAGUGUUUACCGUUUGGCAGGGGAAAGGUUUGUUAUUAUUAGCAAUGCUACACUUCAAUAUUACACUAAAAUCCAGUUUCUCUAUAACCUGGGAGUUGCUCUUUUGUUCUUUCUUUUCCCAUCUUAAUUAAAAUGAGAUGCAGACUCUCACGGUCCACAGUCGAUUAAGAAAUCUUGCACGGCCAUCAGGUUAUGUCUUGGAGAGCAGAGUUUCAGUACCAUCAGCCUGGCAAGGAGCUGGGCCUGCUCCUCAGAGCUCCCGGGACUGCGAGAAUUGGCAUGUUCACAAGGCACCGUCACAGCCUCUGAAACACGCUGUCUUUAAAGAUGUUUGCAGGCUGGACGCGGUGGCUCACUCCUGUAAUCCCAGCACUUUGGGAGGCAGAAGCGGGUGGCUCACUUGAGGUCAGGAGUUCGAGACCAACAUGGCAAAACCCCAUCUCUACUAAAAAUACAAAAAAUUAGCCAGGUGUGGUGGCAGGUGCCUGUAAUUCCAGCUACUCAGGAGGCUGAGGUAGGAGAACUGCUUGAACCCAGGAGGUGGAGGUUGCAAUGAGCAGAGAUCACACCACUGCACUCCAGUCUGGGCAACAAGAGCAAAACUUCAUCUCAAAAAAAAAAAAAAAAAAAAAAAACACAAAACACAAAGACAUUUGCAAGGACCAUGUCCUCACCCAGAAUGGUGCCUGCCUUUCUACAGUUUUUCAGGAAAAGGAAACAUUUUCUGCUUCUCUCGCUGAGGUUUUUUUUAACCACCCAUUAGGAACCUAUAGAUUUCAGGAUCGAACACUGGGAUUCCCUCAGCACUAAAGGAGGACAAUUGCAAACAGAGCUGAAAGUGCAAUGUGGAAAGGUCAGGCUGAGGAAGGUUCUUAGCCAGUAGACCAAGGGCAGGAAGGACACUGCCUCCUCAGUCUCCCACUAGGGAACUUGUGAUUCUUGUCCCCUGACCUCAGAAUUCCUUGUCAUGUUUGUUUUGUCUCCAAGGGAAGGGUUUGAAUUACAGAAUUUAAGGCUAGAGUGGGCCUCGUGCAGUUAACAUUAACCCUCUCUCUCCUUCGCUGGCCAAGGUGAAGUCCGGAAACAUGUAGUUCUGACGUCCACUCUCUCGGGGGAUCACCAGUUCACCCAUCUCACCCGGCAAGCUGGGACCUAGUUUGGCGACAGGCAUCUUCCACCCACCUGGGAGGCAGGGUUCAACACUCUGCCUCUGACCUUGUUUCCUUCUUCUGCCACCUGCUUAGGCAGCCAGAAGGGGUUGUCCAGCCAGCACCUGGGCUUUGGCGCUCCUCAAGCAGGUGGAGGAAGUUUCAGGCACCUGGCUCCUCAGGUGUCUGCCAUCCAGGUGCUCUUCAGGCCUGCCCAGCAGAGCUCUCUUGAUCCAGCUAGAACUGGCCAGAACUGACUCACUCAGGAAUGUGUAGACUUUGGCAUCAGGGGCUGCUUUAAUUUGCACAAUUUCCAAAUACCUCUUUUUUCUUCUUUUUCUGAUGAGUCAUCUUCCUAGACUUUCAUUUUAAAGAGAUAGAUAGUUAUCAGGUUCCAGAGAAGACAUGGUAGAACAUUUAUAUCUCAAAGACACAGAGCUGAGACUUCAGUUUUAGAUACUAUAAUUUGCCUAAACCAAAAAGGAAGGUGUAGGUAAAGUUCUAGUCAAGACAGGAUGGCCAGGAAAAACACCUUAAACCAAGGGAUGGCUUGCUUUGCUGAUUUAAGCCAAUGGCUUCUUUAUCAUAAGACUUCCCAGUGAUUUAGUCCUCCCUCUCUUCCAGUGCACAGAGACAUACCCCUCCUUACAAAUAAAAAUGUUCUUUAUAGAUGUAAAUUUAUUUUACAAAAAUGUUUCAAAAUAACCAGAUGAAAAUCAUCCUUAUGCCAGAAAGACUUGUUUUUUUUUUCAUUACUAGAAAUGAAACAGUAAGUAUUUGUUGUAUUGACAUACUUAGGCUUAGACCUGUGUUUAACAAGAAAGCCUAAUAAUAGCACUGUGGUUAGACUGUAGCCUAUUUUUCCAAACCAUCAUUUUAUUAUUAAGGAAACGAAGGACCAAAUACCUUUCAUUCAUCUGAUAUGAUCCUUUAAAACACAUUCCACUAACAAGUCCCAUUUGGAACAGCUGAAAAUCUUUUAAUAAAACUUUUUAAAGAUGAGCUCAUGGCUUAGUGUAAAUUUCACAAGCUUAAUUAGGUCAAAUGGAAGGAACUCAGAUGAGUAGUUGCCCAAUCAGAGCCCAUUAUUUGUAAGUCAUCAGACCCCUCCAUGACCUUAAAACUCCACUCUGACCUGAUUAUUGCAAACCUAUAUACAAAAAAGUGAAAGGAUUAAUUUUCAUUCAUCAACCUCUCAAUCCCAGAUUUUCAAAGAAAAAACCUAUGUAAGGAAUACUUACCAAAACCAGACAGGAAAAUUAGAGCCUGCAUACUUUAGAGUCAAAUUUGUUCCACUACAGCCAGGUCGCAUACAAUUACAUCAUUUGGUUCUUCAUACACUCUAGAACUGACUAGGACAGAGUUUAGCAUAGAAGAACUGUAAGAAAUAGGUUCUGAAACAUAGAAAUUGCAAAGUUCAAAAGGCUAUGAAAAAAACUAAUGUAAAUGAGAGACUCCCCUCACUUUGUUUUAAAGAAAUAGACCCAUCAGAGAAAUGCAAAUCAAAACCACAAUGAGAUACCAUCUCACACCAGUUAGAAUGGUGAUCAUUAAAAAGUCAGGAAACAACAGGUGCUAGAGAGGAUGUGGAGAAAUAGGAACACUUUUACACUGUUGGUGGGACUGUAAACUAGUUCAACCAUUGUGGAAGACAGUGUGGCCAUUCCUCAGGGAUCUAGAACUAGAAAUACCAUUUGACCCAGCCAUCCCACUACUGGGUAUAUACCCAAAGGAUUAUAAAUCGUGCUGCUAUAAAGACACAUGCACACGUAUGUUUAUUGCGGCACUAUUCACAAUAGCAAAGACUUGGAACCAACCCAAAUGUCCAACAAUGAUAGACUGGAUGAAGAAAAUGUGGCACAUAUACACCAUAGAAUACUAUGCAUCCAUAAAAAAUGAUGAGUUCAUGUCCUUUGUAGGGACACGGAUGAAGUUGGAAACCAUCAUUCUCAGCAAACUAUGGCAAGGACAAAAAAACAAACACCGCAUGUUCUCACUCAUAGGUGGGAAUUGAACAAUGAGAACACUUGGACACAGGAAAGGGAAAAUCACACACCAGGGCCUGUUGUGGGGUGGGGGGAGGGGGGAGGGAUAGCAUUAGGAGAUAUGCCUAAUAUAAAUGAUGAGUUAAUGGGUGCAGCACACCAACAUGGCACAUGUAUACAUAUGCAACAAACCUGCACAUUGUGCAUGUGUACCCUAGAAUUUAAAGUAUAAUAAAAAAAAUAAAAAAAUAAAAAAAUAAAUAGAUGUUCUGUAAAAAUAUACACAAUUUUUACAGACAAAUACAUUUAUAAGUUGUUUUUAUCUUAAAAAUUGGGGAUAUUUCAUAUUUAUAACUAAUUAUUGAACCUUAAGUUUUCUUGGCCAUUUAUAGGCUAAUAAACUAAGAAUCAUGUAAACUAAGCCAAAGUAGAAUAGACAUAAAAGUCCUAACACUUCAACUUCCUAUCCUUCAAGAAGUAUACCUCGCAAAGCUCAUUUGAGAGAGGAAAAGCUUUCCUCCACCCUCUGUUUUACAGCGCUGAGGUUUCUCAUCACAUUUCUAUGACUUAUAGCUUAAAUCCAUGUUACAUGGUCACUGGCAUUGUUAGUGCUUCUCUUUUAAUACUGUAGGAAUUAAUCAAUUUGGUGGCGUAUUUAAUUAAUUCUAUCACUAGAGGAUUGUAAAAUUACAUAUAUGAAUACCUCACUUUAGAGACCACUUAAUUUUUUUUCCAAGGGGAUAUUUGACUAUAUUUCACUUGUGUCUUAUUUAAUGAUUUUAUAAUUUAAACCCUAAAUUAUAAAUCUAGAAUUUAGAGAGUAUAUUUCCCCACUGGAUUACAUUUUUGGAAUUAUUAUAUGUGCACAAAUAUUACAAAAUCACUGUAGACACCUGAAAACUAUAUUAUCUUUUAAAAGCAAUAUUUACAUUAAACUGGUAUAACAAAAUUGUUUGGUGCAUUUUUUCCAGUACAUUUUGUAUAUAUUACAUGUUUAACCUUUUUUUAUUCAGCAAAUAAUUUUUGAGUAUCUACUAAGUGCUAGGUUCUGCAUUACUAAUUGAAUUUAAAGAGUGAAAUAACAGACAUGGUCUCAGACAAUAAAAAUUAACAUUAGGUCACCUAUUUACAUAUUUUAAAAUGGUAAUUAUGAAAACUUUGAGAUUUUAAACUAGAUAACAUUAUAAUAAUACACUUGAUGUUGUUAAUAUUUGCCAGUGAGCAAAAAAGAAAAUAAAAAGAUGGUUUUAUUCAAUAUACACUUUAAAAUUGCAGAAAAUAGUCAAGUUUCUCUGCUUUGCAGUUUAAUGUCUAUGUGUUUUUCUCUGCAACUUGGCUUUUGUGGAGUGAAACAAUUAUUCUUCCAGCCCAAUAAAGGCAGAAGAGUAACAAUAAAUCUAAUAUUUUAAAUGCUUAUCAAAAGAUAGUAAACAUAUUAUUUCAGAAUACUGAGUUCAAUAAGUUGACCUACAAAAAAAGCCAAACUGACAGUAUUACUGAAUAAGGAAAGGCCCAAAGAGACAAAAUACUUUUUAUUUUGUAACCUCGGUAUGAUACAACUUACCCUAACUAUAAAGACCCUAAAUUACCAAGAUGGGUGCUUAUAAUAUGGAGAGUAAAAAAAGUCAUUUCACUUUUAGCUUUUUUAUUUCUCUCAGAAUAAAAAGUGUAUAAGGAGUUUAUAAAGAAGUUGAUACUAUAAGUUAGUACUACAAAGACAGCACUUUUCAAGAAAAGACUUUUUUCUCUCUUACAAAUAUCAUGUUAGCAGUAUUUGUUUUCUCCAGAAAUAAUGAGGAAAUAAAAACAUAAGUAUGUGGGUAAUUAGUGUAGUUUCUUAAAGAAAUGAGUUAGGCAACAGGCUAAUAAUGUAUACUUCGCUGGCUUUUGAAUGCCAACAAUCAUAUUCUUUAUAAGGCACAGAGAAGAUUUUUCUGAAGAAUAAGUAUGUGAACCUGAAAAGUAAUCGCCACUUGGUAGUGACAAUAUGGAUAGGGUGAAGGGCGUCAUCAAGAAGCAAUGAAAAGAUACAUUUGCAGUUAAAUUUGAAAACCAUGAUGUUUAAUACAUAUAGUAAUAAAGAAUACUUUCUCCUAUUUCAAAAUUAUUUUAGAAUUAAGAUAGAAGCUAAAAUACCUAGGGAUAAUGAUAUGACUAUCAAAAAUUAAAAAUUAAAGGACAUUUUGAGUAUUAUAAGUUAAGAAUGAGAACUUAUUACCCAAAGAACAGGGGAUAAUUCAUUAUGCUCCAUAUCCAUUGAAUUAAAAGACAGGCCCAUUACCUGGAUAAUUUGAAAGUUUAAUUUUAUUUAAAAGUCUUGUUUCAUUCAUCAAGCUAAAGGAUUAGCUCCCAGAAAUAUUCUAGGAUUGCAUAUCCCCAACUCUGUAGGAAGUAUAGAAAGAAUGUUAUAAGGGCCACCAUCUAAACAUUAUUAUGUAAAUAAUUUAGUACCAUUCCAUUUGCCUUUGUAGAUUUAAAAAUGUAAAUGGCUUUCUCAUAUUAGGAAACAUCACUUUUCAAAACCCAGAUAAACAUAGUAUAUUGCAAGAGAAUAAUUAUUUUCUUUAUUAAAAAAUACUGGAUGCUAAGUCCAAAAGACAUAAAUUAUUUUAUACUAAUAACUACUAACAUUUUAUUCAUUAAAAUAUAAAGGUCAAAGAUUUUAAAAUGAUCUUUAAAUGAUUAAUAACAUGUUGAUCUUUUUCUUCUUUCUGUAAACCUUUUUGAGUCUUAACAAUACUAAACUAUACAAGCAAUAUUAAAUAGUAUAUAAACGGAUUAAAAUAUUCAAAUUUACUAGAAUGUGGACAUUGGAAAGAAUGAAAAUAAACAGAAGCAUAAAGCAGCAGAUAUAAAAUUAAGAAAGCAACUAAGAGUGUUUAAAGUACAUAUUCAUCUGUAGUCUAAUGUCUACCAUAAACAAUGACUCUUCUCAGUAAAACACAAAUUGUUCAUGAAGGGAAAAAGCAUGUUGUAUUAGAGAAUAUUCAACAUAAUUUUUUUAGUACUAACUUGUGCCUGGAGUAUUAUUGGUUUUUCCAUUAUGAACUUAUGCACUUGAUAAUUUUUUUCAUAAAAAUUGUAUGUACAACUCCAUUCAAAAGCAGUUUUUGGUGGGUUUUUUUUUUUUUUUUGAGAUGAGUUUUGCUCUUUUCACCCAGGCUGGAGUGCAAUGGUGCGAAUUUGGCUCACAGCAACCUAGCAACCUUUGCCUCCUAGGCUCAGGUGAUUCUCUUGCCUCAGCCUCUCGAGUGGUUAGAACUA
rnacentral:lncRNA from 1 species